ACAACGGUGGGUACGUGGUACAUCACCGUGCAGCCAUGACAAGUAUAUUGUGGAAAGAAGACCAGUAGAAGUUUGGAGCAUAGUUAAUUGAACAAUAUUACAAGUUGCAUUGCUUCUAUAAAAAUGUAUAAAUGUUUUUCUUCUGAAAUAUUUUGUGGGAAAUUUAUUUGAACCGUAACUGUUAAAGAGUGAAUGGUGGACUAGGUGGACUGUAUGACUGAUUUGGGUUUUGGGUAUAACAGUAAACAAGAUGGUGUGCCGGUCAGAGCACAGGAAGGUAAGGAUGAGAUGAGGCUCCACUUGGCAGAUGUUCUGAAUUUAUUCCAGUGGUUUGUUCAAAUACUUAAAAUAAAGCAACUGAGGUGCACCAAAACUAAACUCAGGAUUCUAACACACUCAGGUUCUCUCUCUGCAGCUGCCUCCGGCACGUGGCAAACCGAAACCGACUGGAUGAACGUACACAAAACCACUGAAGAAGAAAACGCACAGGAGCGUCCUGUGACAUCACUAUGGGCUGAGCCUUUGUAACAAUAACAGCUUUUUGAACCAUAUGGGUAUAUUUAAAGAGCAGGCACCAAAAUUAACAAGGGCAGAACUAACCCAUGUAAUGCAAGAGAGAAUAUUUCAAAAAGCUACAAAUAUAAUGGAAAUUGUGUUUUUACAGUUGCAUUUUUUUGAUCUUAGGUUACUAUCAAUUCAUGCUUCUGUUAUGCAAACACAAAGUAAAAGUAACUUAUAAAAGGUGUAUAAUUAUACAUAUUUAUUGAAAAUUGACAAAAGCAUUUAGUCAAAUUAGAAGGAAAAGUUGUCAGUUAUCAACAGGUAUUCUGUGUGCUGUCACACGUAUCAAGAAAAAAGACAAAAUUAACAAAAUCAAGACUUGACAGUAGUUCUAGCAAAAAAAACAAAAAAAAAA